CCCGCGGGCCGGGCCGACAAGCCGCACGGACCCCAAGAGCGCGAAGGCGGCGACAGCGGCGGGCCUGCGAGAACACAACAUGGCGGCGGGCAGGCCGGACCAAACUGUAGCGGCGGCCCCGAGAGGGAAGAGAUCAUACUUCUCACACUAAUGUCAUCAAGCUUUGCAUUCUUUUGAUCAAUGAAAUGUGAAUCAAAAUGGCAUGAGCCACUUCUGAACAGAAAUGUAUGAGCCAUCUAAGGAUUCCACCAUAUUAUUUUCUUCUGCUGUGAGAGCAGCAUGUCCCAAAUAGAACUGCUUCUCCAGGGUUGGUCCCAGAAUGAAGAUGUGCAGAACCACAGCUAAUGUACAUGACCUGUAAUGUAAGGAUAAAUGGAUACUCUUCUGAUGGGCAACUUUGGCUCAAGGACUCCUCAAUGGCCUUGCCAGACUUUCCUGAGAACUACACUGCAGUCUAAGACCCUUCCACCUAGAUCUCCCUCCUUCUCUCUCCUUUCCUCAGCGUCAGAUUUGCAUCACUGUCUGGUGGUCCUCAGUCUCUCUCAGCUUCUGCACCAUUUUCUCU